AGAUUAAGUUAUUAAGGGCGCACGGUGGAUGCCUUGGCACUAGAAGCCGAUGAAGGACGUUACUAACGACGAUAUGCUUUGGGGAGCUGUAAGUAAGCUUUGAUCCAGAGAUUUCCGAAUGGGGAAACCCAGCAUGAGUUAUGUCAUGUUAUCGAUAUGUGAAUACAUAGCAUAUCAGAAGGCACACCCGGAGAACUGAAACAUCUUAGUACCCGGAGGAAGAGAAAGAAAAUUCGAUUCCCUUAGUAGCGGCGAGCGAAACGGGAAGAGCCCAAACCAACAAGCUUGCUUGUUGGGGUUGUAGGACACUCUAUACGGAGUUACAAAGGACGACAUUAGACGAAUCAUCUGGAAAGAUGAAUCAAAGAAGGUAAUAAUCCUGUAGUCGAAAAUGUUGUCUCUCUUGAGUGGAUCCUGAGUACGACGGAGCACGUGAAAUUCCGUCGGAAUCUGGGAGGACCAUCUCCUAAGGCUAAAUACUCUCUAGUGACCGAUAGUGAACCAGUACCGUGAGGGAAAGGUGAAAAGCACCCCGGAAGGGGAGUGAAAUAGAACCUGAAACCGUGUGCUUACAAGUAGUCAGAGCCCGUUAAUGGGUGAUGGCGUGCCUUUUGUAGAAUGAACCGGCGAGUUACGAUUUGAUGCAAGGUUAAGCAGUAAAUGUGGAGCCGUAGCGAAAGCGAGUCUGAAUAGGGCGUUUAGUAUUUGGUCGUAGACCCGAAACCAGGUGAUCUACCCUUGGUCAGGUUGAAGUUCAGGUAACACUGAAUGGAGGACCGAACCGACUUACGUUGAAAAGUGAGCGGAUGAACUGAGGGUAGCGGAGAAAUUC
rnacentral:rRNA from 1 species